AACGAACGCUGGCGGCAGGCUUAACACAUGCAAGUCGAGCGAGACCUUCGGGUCUAGCGGCGGACGGGUGAGUAACGCGUGGGAACGUGCCCUUCUCUACGGAAUAGCCCCGGGAAACUGGGAGUAAUACCGGAUAAGCCCUUCGGGGGAAAGAUUUAUCGGAGAAGGAUCGGCCCGCGUUGGAUUAGGUAGUUGGUGGGGUAAUGGCCCACCAAGCCGACGAUCCAUAGCUGGUUUGAGAGGAUGAUCAGCCACACUGGGACUGAGACACGGCCCAGACUCCUACGGGAGGCAGCAGUGGGGAAUCUUAGACAAUGGGGGCAACCCUGAUCUAGCCAUGCCGCGUGAGUGAUGAAGGCCUUAGGGUUGUAAAGCUCUUUCAGCUGGGAAGAUAAUGACGGUACCAGCAGAAGAAGCCCCGGCUAACUCCGUG
rnacentral:rRNA from 1 species